rnacentral:rRNA from 1 species
AGAGUUUGAUCAUGGCUCAGAACGAACGCUGGCGGCGUGCUUAACACAUGCAAGUCGAGUGCGCGGUUGUAGCAAUACAACUGGCGCACGGCGCACGGGUGCGUAACACGUGGGUAACCUGCCCUUUGGUGGGGAAUAACUCCGCGAAAGCGGAGCUAAUUCCGCAUAAGAUCCGCAAGGAUGAAAGCCGCAAGGCGCCGAAGGAGGGGCCCGCGCCCGAUUAGCUAGUUGGUAGGGUAACGGCCUACCAAGGCUUUGAUCGGUAGCUGGUCUGAGAGGAUGAUCAGCCACACUGGAACUGAGACACGGUCCAGACUCCUACGGGAGGCAGCAGUGGGGAAUCUUGCACAAUGGGCGAAAGCCUGAUGCAGCGACGCCGCGUGGGGGAUGAAGCAUUUCGGUGUGUAAACCCCUUUCGAUCCGGACGAAACCCCGCAAGGGAUUGACGGUACGGAUAUAAGAAGCCCCGGCUAACUACGUGCCAGCAGCCGCGGUAAGACGUAGGGGGCCAGCGUUGUUCGGAAUUACUGGGUGUAAAGGGUUCGUAGGCGGUGCGGCAAGUUGGGAGUGAAAUCUCUGGGCUUAACCCAGAGGCUGCUUCCAAAACUGCUGUGCUUGAGUGUGGGAGAGGCGCGUGGAAUUGCAGGUGUAGCGGUGAAAUGCGUAGAUAUCUGCAGGAACACCCGUGGCGGAAGCGGCGCGCUGGACCACUACUGACGCUGAGGAACGAAAGCUAGGGGAGCAAACAGGAUUAGAUACCCUAGUAGUCC